rnacentral:misc_RNA from 1 species
GAUGAAGAACGCAGCGAAAUGCGAUAAGUAAUGUGAAUUGCAGAAUUCAGUGAAUCAUCGAAUCUUUGAACGCACAUUGCGCCCCCUGGUAUUCCGGGGGGCAUGUCUGUUCGAGCGUCAUUUCACCACUCAAGCCUCGCUUGGUAUUGGGCAACGCGGUCCGCCGCGUGCCUCAAAUCGACCGGCUGGGUCUUCUGUCCCCUAAGCGUUGUGGAAACUAUUCGCUAAAGGGUGCUCGGGAGGCUACGCCGUAAAACAAACCCAUUUCUAAGGUUGACCUCGGAUCAGGUAGGGAUACCCGCUGAACUUAAGCAUAUCAAUAAGCGGAGGA